UAUAAUUACUGUUUUUCCGAAGACAGUAGGUGCAUUGCGUAAAAGCUGUUAAGCUUGCCUGCCGAGGAGAGUUCGUUUAGUAAAUUUUAAUUGUAAAAUUAAGUUUAUAUAAAUCUUCUCUGCCGGCUGGCGGGGGAGAUAUUUUUAUUG
rnacentral:sRNA from 1 species